AGUCUACCCGACAGCGCACAUUGGAGAUCGGCGGAGGAACCGUGAAGAACCAUUUAGCCGAUCCCGCUUCUUUUUUUUUUAAAUGCUGCCUGCUGGUGACGAGUAUGAGAAGUCCGUUCGUUGGUCCACAUCAAGCUGGCUGUGUAAGCACGAAGUGCCACAAGAUGAUUGGCAGCAAGAGUCAACCAGUGAUGAAGGGAUGCGCUCAACUGAAUACAAGUGUCUGUGAACACAAACAUGCAGCAGAGUCGUGAAACCCCUCAAUCCCGUCCAGGCCUUCCAAACAGGACUCCUCUAAUGUCUGUGAACACACACGCAGCAUGGUUGUGAAACCCUUCAAUCCCAUCCAGGCCUUCCACACAGGACCCCUCUAACUGUUGAAAGGCUGAGCAGGUUGGACUCCAGCUGAAAAUGGACUAUGUAAAACAACUCCAAAAAACAAUGCACAAUACACCUUCAUUUUGACAAUAGGCCUAUUUCAUAUUUUAUAGCUGAUUCUGGUUAUUUUCCAAUAAUCUUCUUUACACUAGAUUUAAAUGUAAUGUAAAUUAAUGACAUAUCUAGCUUCUGUUUAAUACAAACAUAACAGCUGCAUGUACACUAUACUGGCCAUCCCCAAACUUCCCACAAAGUUGGGAGCAUGGAAUUGUCCAUAGUCACGUCUGCAGUCGUUUACAUUAAGUCGAAUCCACCUAUUGAUUGACUGACUGACUGAC